UAGGGAAUUUUCGUCAAUGGGGGCAACCCUGAACGAGCAAUGCCGCGUGAGCGAAGAAGGUCUUCGGAUUGUAAAGCUCUGUUGCCGGGAAAAAGGAAGGAAAGAGGAAAUGCUUUUCUUUGGAUGGUACCCGGCCAGAAAGUCACGGCUAACUACGUGCC
rnacentral:rRNA from 1 species